CCCCACGCCGCCUCCAAUGGAUCGAAGCCCGCGGAUCUGAAGGACCUUAUCGCCGGGCUGUACGGAUCGCAGCCGCUCUCUUCCCCCGUCGCCGAUGAGGCGGGUGAAGAGGAGAUGGUGCCGGUGGUGGAGGACGGGGACGAGUUCGGAGACGAUGGCUGGGAAUUCAAGGCCGCGCCGUCGUCAGAUGGUGGACGAGCGAAUGGGGAUGGAAUUGAGCUGCCGCCUCAAUCCAGCUUAGAAACUCCCCACAGAGAAGGGGAGGAGCUCCAGGAAGGUUUGUUAGGAAACCUGGCCCGCUUCCUCUGUGGUGAUAAGUCCUUCCUUCCUCCUUCGUUCUCAUCACCAUCAAACAGAGUCUUGGCGCCAUUGUCUUGCGGCAGAGCAUCAUCACCAUCAUUCCUGACAGAAGACUGGUCACUAUUUACUAGUGUGGAUGAAAAUUUGAACCAUGUUCGAACUACAAACCACAUUGAAACUUGUAAGUCCACAGGUCCUAAUGAUGCAGCCAUACUUGACCUGUACAAAGAAACUGAGCUGGUUGAUGCUGUACACAUGACACAAAGUUCUUCAGAAAGUGUGCAGAGCCCUUCUGAUAUGUUCUCAAAUAAUGAAAUGAACUCUUCAUUUGAAACAGAUGAAAAUCAUUCAAUUAAAUCUUCAAGCGAUAGGACUUUGAUUGAUUUCUACCAUAAGCUGAGGGAAGAAACACUGACAGUAAUAUUUCGGAAUGGGAAGGAUUUUAAGGAAAUCUGUGAGAAACUACCUGAAGGUUUUUGUAUAGAGGAACAUACUGCAAAGGAUGUAUUCAUUUCUGAACUGCUUGACAGUGCCAGAGAGGUUCAUUUGAAGGAUUUUGAGGAAGAAUAUCAUUUAAUAGAAAAGAUACCGAUGCAUGGUGUGGUGCUUUGGCAAGAAUCCUGUCAAUCAAAUGUCUGCAACGUAGUAAUUUCCCAAGGUGGCCAAUUCUUUAUUGCUCUUGGGGAGAUUUACAGAGUUGCACAGAUUCUAAAUUUAUCCUUGCAGUCCUUCAAGCCCUGGGUUCUUGCUGAUCCUGGAAUGGUGAGUAAAAUGUUGGUUUGUUGGGACGGCUGCCUGAAUGCAUGGACUAAUAAUGGUCUAGGAACGGCUCUUAGAAUGGUUGUUGACAGCAAUAACUUAGAUGCACCUGUUGCUAAAGUUCUUCUCGAAUCUAUCAUUAAAAUUGACGAAAUUGAAGUGGCCACUCUCCAAUGUUCCCUUCCCAACAGCAAGAUGACAUGUAGGCAUACCCUCCUGCCGACUAGUGUUUUACCAGGAAUGGAAGUGAUCAUUUGGGAUGGUGAUCACUAUUUUGUUAAAGUUGCUAAUCUGUGGACUAACCGGAUAUCUUCUGACCCUCCCCAGUUCAGCCAUUCGUGUCACUUAAAUAAGUGA
rnacentral:lncRNA from 1 species